AAUUGAAGAGUUUGAUCAUGGCUCAGAUUGAACGCUGGCGGCAGGCCUAACACAUGCAAGUCGAACGGUAACAGGAAGAAGCUUGCUCUUUGCUGACGAGUGGCGGACGGGUGAGUAAUGUCUGGGAACUGCCUGAUGGAGGGGGAACCGCAUAACGUCGCAAGACCAAAGAGGGGGACCUUCGGGCCUCUUGCCAUCGGAUGUGCCCAGAUGG
rnacentral:rRNA from 1 species